UACGUAGGGUGCAAGCGUUAAUCGGAAUUACUGGGCGUAAAGCGCACGUAGGCGGGUCGUUAAGUCAGGGGUGAAAUCCCGGAGCUCAACUCCGGAACUGCCUUUGAUACUGGCGACCUUGAGGCUGGAAGAGGUUAGUGGAAUUCCCAGUGUAGAGGUGAAAUUCGUAGAUAUUGGGAAGAACACCAGUGGCGAAGGCGGCUAACUGGUCCAGAUCUGACGCUGAGGUGCGAAAGCGUGGGGAGCAAACAGG
rnacentral:rRNA from 1 species